UACGUAGGGUGCGAGCGUUGUCCGGAAUUAUUGGGCGUAAAGGGCUCGUAGGCGGUUUGUCGCGUCGGGAGUGAAAACUCAGGGCUUAACCCUGAGCCUGCUUUCGAUACGGGCAGACUAGAGGUAUGCAGGGGAGAACGGAAUUCCUGGUGUAGCGGUGAAAUGCGCAGAUAUCAGGAAGAACACCCGUGGCGAAGGCGGUUCUCUGGGACGGUACUGACGCUGAGACGCGAAAGCGUGGGGAGCGAACAGG
rnacentral:rRNA from 1 species